rnacentral:lncRNA from 1 species
UUCUCACGCUUCUGAUUGCUUUCUCCUUCCUUUUCUCUUUCUAGAUUUAGAUAUGGCCAGAGACCCCAAGGGGAGCCGGGCCCGGCCUGGCCAGAAGCGACAGCACAGCGCUACCCUCUACCACAGUAACUGUGACCUGAACUAUGAGCUGUAUCGGGAAGACUUCCCCUACAGGUUGUAUGAGUAUCAGAGGAUCCCCCCACUUAUCAACCGAGCACCUGUCAAGAGCAGACGGACCCACAUGGGCGCAGGAGGCAAGAGUGGCCUCAGUCCCCACAUUCCUCCACGAAGCAACAACCCACCCCCCGUCCGGACAAAGUGGCCCCAAGACGGUGAGAAGAAGGCGGCCUCAGCCAGCGGAGAAUCCCCCAGUGCAGCAGCUGAGGCCCAGCGAGAGCCCCGGGGCAAGGAGAGCCCAGAGCCCAGAGCCCGCAGCCGAAGGGAUGCCGACAGUGCGGAGGAGAGCACGGACACGGAGGAGGCGGGGAGGAUGAAAAAUCACACCUUGGACCCCGAUGGGAGUCAGUAGAAGCUCUGGGGCCCCUGCUGUGGCCUCCCCAGCUCGGAUCCUUUCCUUUUCCUGUGUUUGUAUUUCUUUGAGGCCUCCCAGCCAGUGCCACGUGUCUCCUGCCCUCCAUUCUCCCCGCUGUUACAGUAGAGCCUCGUCUGCUCCUGCCCACGGGAGCCUGCUGGGUGUCCUGCAUUCUCUACAGAACCCGUAGAAGUCCCUGAGGUGCCGGCCUGCAGUAAUGGGUCUGGGGAGGCAGGAAAAUGCAGCAGGUCUAGAACUUCCUUUUGAAUACCAACCCUUCUUUCCUCUGUGUUGGUCCCCCCAUCCCAUGAAAAAGGGGUUCCCUUGGUAGUAAGACUUGGCAGGACAGGGGCAUUUGGGGAAGAGUCUGGGCAGACCCCUCAGUUCCAAAUUCAUCCUUCUCUUCCCUCACCAAGAUGCUCAGUGAUGUUUUUCAGUUCCCCACCCCUCCUGGGUACCCUCAGCAUCUCUCUUGGGGGAGAACUGGUGCCAUCCCACCCCUUGACCUCUCUGGCAUAGUCAGCUUGUAACAGUAUUUGCUCUUUUCCUGGCCCCAGCAGAAAGUGGUUUGUCUAAGACACCACCCAGGUUCUGCUCCCCACGUCAGCCAUUUAACAUGGAAACCCCCAGUGUUCCUUCUGGGGCUCCCUCAGCUGUCCUUCCUCCCAGCAGCGUGAGGAGAGGGGAUCGAUGUCCCUGAGAAGGCCAACCAAGCCAAAUGUUAGCUCCAUCUCAGCUCCCGUGGCUCACCGAGGUUUCCCCUUUUUCCGGGAUCACGUGGCUUCAAUGUUUUGCACUACUAGCCUUCACGUGACCCCUUUCUCUCCCCCUGGUCCCCACAGAAUUCCAUACCCCAGUGGUGCAUGGGAAAUGAAUUCUGUUUCUGACAGGUGCAUUUCUGCUCCAUAGAAGAUAGUCAGGUCCUUGGUUGAUGUUGCUCUGGUUAACCCUGUUAUUUCCCUGCUUUCCCUCCCUCUUCCCCCCCGUGCCGUCCUUU